GACGUAGGGCGCGAGCGUUGUCCGGAUUUAUUGGGCGUAAAGAGCGUGUAGGCGGCUUGGCAAGUCCGCUGUGAAAACUCGAGGCUCAACCUCGAGACGUCGGUGGAAACUGCCUCGCUAGAGUCCGGAAGAGGAGAGUGGAAUUCCUGGUGUAGCGGUGAAAUGCGCAGAUAUCAGGAAGAACACCCGUGGCUAAGGCGGCUCUCUAGUACGGUACUGACGCUGAGACGCGAAAGCGUGGGGAGCGAACAGG
rnacentral:rRNA from 1 species